GAUCAUCUAUCGCMAWAUAAAGGGUUGUCUGCUGGCCUCUCGGGGCGCGUGCACGCCCAAAUCCACAACACACCUGUGAACCCACCGCUAGGCCCUCGGGCUUAUGUAUUAUCAUAUACUCUGAUCAUAGAAUGUAAAUAAUUUUGCCUUAAAAACGCRAUGAAAUACAACUUUCAACAACGGAUCUCUUGGCUCUCGCAUCGAUGAAGAACGCARCGAAAUGCGAUAAGAAAUGUGAAUUGCAGAUUUUCAGUGAAUCAUCGAAUCUUUGAACGCACCUUGCGCUCCUCGGUAUUCCGAGGAGCAUGCCUGUUUGAGUGUCAUUAAAUUCUCAACCCCAGCGGUUCGUUGGGGCUUGGACUUGGAGCGUGCUGGCGAAGGUCGGCUCCUCUUUAAAUGCAUCACCGGAAAACRGAACUUUCCCUUCGGCGUGAUAAUAUCGUUGCGUCGUGGUGGGUCGGUUAAAGAGUCCCGCUCACAAUCGUCCUCGGACAAAAAUAAAAAACAUCUGUUUUGACCUCAGAUCAGGUAGGACUACCCGCUGAACUUAAGCAUAUCAAUAAGCGGAGGAAAAGAAACUAACAAGGAUUCCCCUASUAACUGCGAGUGAAGCGGGAAGAGCUCAAAUUUAAAAUCUGGCGGUCGUCUGGCCGUCCGAGUUGUAAUCUGGAGAAKCGUUUUCCGCGUCGGACCGUGUACAAAGUCUUCUGGAACGGAGCGUCAUAGAGGGUGAGAAUCCCGUCUCUGACACGGAACUGSCUUAUGCUUCAUGUGAUA
rnacentral:rRNA from 1 species